CAAGCCUGGCUUGGUAUUGGGCGACAAGGGGAGACCCCUGCGCCUCAAUUUCACCGGCUGGCCGUCGCCCGUCUUAGCGUUGCAACACCCAGAUCGCUACCGACGGGACCGGACCAUGCUGUAAGGAUUUCAUAUGAAUUUCAAUCGAAAUUCGAUUAAAGGUUGACCUCGGAUCGGGUAGGAAUACCCGCUGAACUUAA
rnacentral:misc_RNA from 1 species